rnacentral:pre_miRNA from 1 species
AUAUGCAUCACAGGGAUCUUGUUAAAAUGCAUAUUCUGGUUCAGUAAGUCUGGGGUGGGACCCAAGACUCUGCAUGUCUAACGAGCUCCCAAGUGAUGCCUAU